rnacentral:misc_RNA from 1 species
UAUUAAACCCAGAUUCUUCAAGAUAACACAAAAUAAGGAAACAUUUAGUACGGAAUGGCAACAAUAUAAAGUAGCAAUCACUAGUGGUAAAAACUUUUUGGGAAGAAAAGAAAAAAAUUUGUAAAUCCUCUCAUAAGUAAAAUCAACUGCGACAAAGUCAAAGAAGAGCACAUCAAAUUGGCCCUUUGGCUCAGUUGGGGUACUAAUCACUAAUAAAUUCAGUGAAAAGAACAAAUGACAGUCCUUAACACCUAAGUUGUCGUAUCUAUGACAUUAACCUCACGUCCCCACAAAUAGGGAUAACACAAUUCAGUAAUGUCAAGGAUCCUCUGGUGGAAACCAAUAGAAAUGAUAACAAAAUUCUGAUAAAAAAAAAUAGAAAUGAUAACAAA